rnacentral:rRNA from 1 species
GACGAACGCUGGCGGCGUGCUUAACACAUGCAAGUCGAACGGUGAAGCGCCUUCCUUUUUGGUGGGUGUGGAUGAGUGGCGAACGGGUGAGUAACACGUGAGUAACCUGCCCCCUUCUUCUGGAUAACCGCAUGAAAGUGUGGCUAAUACGGGAUAUUCUGGGUCUGUCGCAUGAUGGGUCUGGGAAAGAUAUUGUUUCGGUGGGGGAUGGGCUCGCGGCCUAUCAGCUUGUUGGUGGGGUGAUGGCCUACCAAGGCGGUGACGGGUAGCCGGCCUGAGAGGGUGGACGGUCACACUGGGACUGAGACACGGCCCAGACUCCUACGGGAGGCAGCAGUGGGGAAUAUUGCACAAUGGGCGCAAGCCUGAUGCAGCGACGCCGCGUGAGGGAUGGAGGCCUUCGGGUUGUGAACCUCUUUCGCCAGUGAAGCAGGCCUGCCUCGUUUGUGGGUGGGUUGACGGUAGCUGGAUAAGAAACGCCGGCGAACUACGU